AAAAAUUUAGUUAAACACAUAACAUUAGCCUGUCAAGCUAAAAUUAUUAAUGCUAAUAAUUUUUU
rnacentral:tRNA from 1 species